CAAAUUUCUGCCCUAUCAACUUUCGAUGGUAUGGUCUUGGUUACCAUGGUUUCAACGGGUAACGGGGAAUUAGGGUUCUAUUCCGGAGAGGGAGCCUGAGAAACGGCUACCACAUCCAAGGAAGGCAGCAGGCGCGCAAAUUACCCAAUCCUGAUACAGGGAGGUAGUGACAAUAAAUACUGAUACAGGGCUCUUUAUGGGUCUUGUAAUUGGAAUGAGUACAAUUUAAAUCCCUUAACGAGGAACAAUUGGAGGGCAAGUCUGGUGCCAGCAGCCGCGGUAAUUCCAGCUCCAAUAGCGUAUAUUAACAGUUGUUGCAGUUAAAAAAGCUCGUAGUUGAACCUUGGGCCUGGUGGCCGGUCCGCCUCAACGCGUGGCACUGGUCCGGCCGGGUCUUUCCUCCUGGGGAAUCGCAUGCCCUUCACUGGUGUGACGGGGAAACAGGACUUUACUUUGAAAAAACUUAGAGUGUCAAAGCAGGCAUAUGUCGAAUA
rnacentral:rRNA from 1 species